CUGGAAUCCUGAAGAGAUUUAGGAGUGCUCGCAAGAGAACCGGAACACAGGUGCUGCAUGGCUGUCGUCAGCUCGUGUCGUGAGAUGUUGGGUUAAGUCCCGCAACGAGCGCAACCCUUGCCAUUAGUUGCUACAUUUAGUUGAGCACUCUAAUGGGACUGCCGGUGACAAACCGGAGGAAGGUGGGGAUGACGUCAAGUCCUCAUGGCCCUUAUGGGUAGGGCUUCACACGUCAUACAAUGGUCGGGACAGAGGGUUGCCAAGCCGCGAGGUGGAGCCAAUCUCAGAAACCCGAUCGUAGUCCGGAUCGCAGUCUGCAACUCGACUGCGUGAAGUCGGAAUCGCUAGUAAUCGCGGAUCAGCAUGUCGCGGUGAAUACGUUCCCGGGUCUUGUACACACCGCCCGUCACACCAUGGAGUGGGUUUCACCAGAAGUAGGUAGCCUAACCACAAGGAGGGCGCUUACCACGGUGAGAUUCAUGACUGGGGUGAAGUCGUAACAAGGUAGGCGUAGUGCU
rnacentral:rRNA from 1 species